rnacentral:rRNA from 1 species
UACGUAGGGCGCAAGCGUUGUCCGGAAUUAUUGGGCGUAAAGAGCUCGUAGGCGGUUUGUCGCGUCUGCUGUGAAAACCUAAGGCUCAACCUUGGGCUUGCAGUGGGUACGGGCAGACUAGAGUGCGGUAGGGGUGACUGGAAUUCCUGGUGUAGCGGUGGAAUGCGCAGAUAUCAGGAGGAACACCGGUGGCGAAGGCGGGAUCCUGGGCCAGCACUGACGCUGAGGAGCGAAAGCGUGGGGAGCAAACAGG